CUUAUAGUAUAGAGAUAAGCAUCUAUCAUGCUAGCUUGCGCCAAAUUAUAACAAAACUUGUUGUACUCAAUAUCAAGCUCAUUAUUUUAACUGAACACAACAAAUUAAACCAAUUCAUUUUCAUUUCUAAAUUAAAGAAACACUGAUUAAACAUAACAACUACUCAGUUAAGAAUAUAUUAACACGCAAACAAUAAAAUCAAACAAGAGAACCUUUCAUAAAGUCCUUCACUCGGCAGCAAACUAAAGAAAACAAGUUUGGAAGAAGGAAGAGAAAUUGGACCUUAGUUUAACUAAAAAUUGAUGCAAACCAGUACAACAAUGAACUCCACCCACUCGACUUCAAACUGAAAAUAAGCAUCGCGACAAAAACUCCACCAGAAAACAACAAACGACACCCUCGCCAACAACCUCAAAUCUUGGAUGAACUAUUUUUUUGGGACUGCUUCGCGACUGUUCCUCGGCGAAAGAAGUUGCGUUUGAGCCACUGUUUACGAAUGGUUUUGGUGAUGAAGGCUGCUGGUUUUUGUUGGGGUUAAUAAAGUUGGUCUGUCGAGUUUGGGGUGGAGAUGUGGUCGAUAGCUACUAGUUCAGGAAGUGGUUGUUGUUUUUGCUUCAACAGCAACAUCGAAGAUGGCUGCUUCUUCUUUAUAGAUCCAUUUUGUUGAAGAAGAGACCAAAGUCUUACGCCUUAGGUCAUUGUUUUGCUGGAGAAAAAUCCAAAUCGUGUGAAGAAGAAGGCGGACUAGUUAUGUGUAGAGUCUAGGGUCUAAGUCAUUAAGCUGUAGGCCCCUUUAUAGUCUACCGUCUAAGUCUAGUGUUUUAGGGGUAUUGAACUUCAGCAUUAUAUGGCUGAACAAUUUUUUUGGGACUGCUUCGCGACUGUUUCUCGGCGAAAGAAGUAGCGUUUGAGCCACUGUUUACGAAUGGUUUUGGUGAUGAAGGCUGCUGGUUUUUGUUGGGGAGAAGAACGUUGGUCUGUCGAUAGCUACUAGUUCAGGAAGUGGUCGUUGUUUUUGCUUCAAUAACAACAUCGAAGAUGGCUGCUUCUUCUUUAUAGAUCCAUUUUGUUGAAGAAGAGACCAAGGUCUUACGCCUUAGGUCAUUGUUUUGCUGGAGAAAAAUCCAAAUCGUGUGAAGAAGAACGGUGGACUAGUU
rnacentral:lncRNA from 1 species